rnacentral:rRNA from 1 species
CAGCAGCCGCGGGAAUACGUAGGGUGCAAGCGUUGUCCGGAAUUAUUGGGCGUAAAGAGCUCGUAGGCGGUUUGUCGCGUCUGCUGUGAAAACCCGAGGCUCAACCUCGGGCCUGCAGUGGGUACGGGCAGACUAGAGUGCGGUAGGGGAGAUUGGAAUUCCUGGUGUAGCGGUGGAAUGCGCAGGUAUCAGGAGGAACACCGAUGGCGAAGGCAGAUCUCUGGGCCGUAACUGACGCUGAGGAGCGAAAGCAUGGGGAGCGAACAGGAUUAGAUACCCGAGUAGUCCCUGUCUCUUAUAC